GAGUCUGAAGUGGCGCGGACAGAGGAAAGGAAGGGAGACUUCAGGACGGCUAAUUUGAAUUUUACCACGAUUUUUCACCCACUAUUCAAGCUAAUGCAAGAUAAAAAAUGAUUUCAGAAGAAUCACCACAAUUUCCUUGGAGCGUACAUUCUUGUAAAAGCUGGACUUCUAUACCCCAAAACUCCUGGCUUUGUUUGAGAUGAGGGUUGGGGUUGCUGGCAUAAGAAUUAAACAUUUGCUGGAUUCACUGAGCUAGCAAGAAGAUAGCCUUGAAGAUAGGUGAGAAGUUGUGAUUCGCUGCCUCCUAUCUUUCCUGGGAGAAUCAGCUAAGGAGCUCAUUGAAGACCACCAGGAUAUCAGCAGAGACAUGAUUAAGGAUACCUUAUUCAGUCAUGUCUUUAAAAUCAUCGUACUG